GUGAGGAAUAUUGCGCAAUGGAGGCAACUCUGACGCAGCCAUGCCGCGUGCAGGAAGAAGGCGCUACGCGUUGUAAACUGCUUUUAACCGGGAAGAAACCCCAGGACGUGUCCUGGGUUGACGGUACCGGAGGAAUAAGCACCGGCUAACUUCGUGCCAGCAGCCGCGGUAAUACGAAGGGUGCAAGCGUUAUCCGGAUUCAUUGGGUUUAAAGGGUGCGUAGGCGGAGCGUUAAGUCAGUGGUGAAAUCCUGCAGCUUAACUGACGACUUGCCAUUGAUACUGGCGCUCUUGAGUGCGCUUGAAGUGGGCGGAAUGUGCCGUGUAGCGGUGAAAUGCUUAGAUAUGGCACAGAACACCAAUUGCGAAGGCAGCUCACUAAGGCGGUACUGACGCUGAGGCACGAAAGCGUGGGGAUCGAACAGGAUUAGAAACCCUAGUAGUCC
rnacentral:rRNA from 1 species